rnacentral:rRNA from 1 species
AGAAUCAACGCUGGCGGCGUGCCUAACACAUGCAAGUCGCACGAGAAAGGGGAGCAAUCCCUGAGUACAGUGGCGCACGGGUGAGUAACACGUGAAUCAUCUACCUCCGAGUGGGGAAUAACUGAGAGAAAUCUUAGCUAAUACCGCAUAAUACCCACGGGUCAAAGCAGUAAUGCGCUUGGAGAGGAGUUCGCGGCAGAUUAGUUAGUUGGCGGGGUAAUGGCCCACCAAGACGAUGAUCUGUAUCCGGCCUGAGAGGGCGCACGGACACACUGGAACUGAAACACGGUCCAGACUCCUACGGGAGGCAGCAGUGGGGAAUUUUGCGCAAUGGGGGAAACCCUGACGCAGCAACGCCGCGUGGAGGAUGAAGCCCCUUGGGGUGUAAACUCCUUUCGAUCGGGAAGAUAAUGACGGUACCGAUAUAAGAAGCCCCGGCUAACUUCGCGCCAGCAGCCGC